rnacentral:rRNA from 1 species
GUUCGGUCCCUAUCUGUCGUGGGCGCAGGAUUUUUGAGCGGAACUGACUCUAGUACGAGAGGACCGAGUCGGACACACCGCUGGUGUACCGGUUGUGCCGCCAGGCGCAUCGCCGGGUAACUAUGUGUGGGCAGGAUAAGCGCUGAAAGCAUCUAAGCGCGAAGCCGUCCGCGAGAUGAGAGAUCCCUUGAGGGCCGUCGAAGACGACGACGUUGAUAGGCUGCAGGUGUAAAGGCGGUGACGUCAAAGCCGAGCAGUACUAAUUGCCCGAAAGAUUUCCUUCU